rnacentral:rRNA from 1 species
AGUGAACGCUGGCGGUAGGCCUAACACAUGCAAGUCGAACGGCAGCACAGUAAGAGCUUGCUCUUACGGGUGGCGAGUGGCGGACGGGUGAGGAAUACAUCGGAAUCUACUUUUUCGUGGGGGAUAACGUAGGGAAACUUACGCUAAUACCGCAUACGACCUACGGGUGAAAGCAGGGGAUCUUCGGACCUUGCGCGAUUGAAUGAGCCGAUGUCGGAUUAGCUAGUUGGCGGGGUAAAGGCCCACCAAGGCGACGAUCCGUAGCUGGUCUGAGAGGAUGAUCGGCCGCACUGGAACUGGGACACGGUCCAGGCUCCUACGGGAGGCAGCAGUGGGGAAUAUUGGACAAUGGGCGCGAGCCUGAUCCAGCCAUACCGCGUGGGUGAAGAAGGCCUUCGGGUUGUAAAGCCCUUUUGUUGGGAAAGAAAAGCAGCAGGUUAAUACCCCGCUGUUCUGACGGUACCCAAAGAAUAAGCACCGGCUAACUUCGUG